rnacentral:rRNA from 1 species
GACGAACGCUGGCGGCGUGCUUAACACAUGCAAGUCGUACGGUAGGGCCCUUUCGGGGGUACACGAGUGGCGAACGGGUGAGUAACACGUGAGUAACCUGCCCACAACUUUGGGAUAACGCUAGGAAACUGGUGCUAAUACUGGAUAUGUGCUCCUGCUGCAUGGUGGGGGUUGGAAAGCUCCGGCGGUUGUGGAUGGACUCGCGGCCUAUCAGCUUGUUGGUGGGGUAGUGGCCUACCAAGGCGGCGACGGGUAGCCGGCCUGAGAGGGUGACCGGCCACAUUGGGACUGAGAUACGGCCCAGACUCCUACGGGAGGCAGCAGUGGGGAAUAUUGCACAAUGGGCGCAAGCCUGAUGCAGCAACGCCGCGUGCGGGAUGACGGCCUUCGGGUUGUAAACCGCUUUCAGCAGGGACGAAGCUUUUUGUGACGGUACCUGCAGAAGAAGCACCGGCUAACUACGU